rnacentral:rRNA from 1 species
AUAACACGGAGAGUUUGAUCCUGGCUCAGGACAAACGCUGGCGGCAUGCCUAACACAUGCAAGUCGAACGGACGGAGGAAAGAGAUCUCUUCGGAGUGACCUUUCCCGAGUUAGUGGCGGAUGGGUGAGUAACGCGUGAGUGACCUGCCCAGCAGUGGGGAAUAACAGUGAGAAAUCAUUGCUAAUACCGCAUACCUUACAAGUGC